rnacentral:snRNA from 1 species
GGAUGUGAGGGGUGAUCUGGGCUGCGGACAUCUGUCAACAACCCCAUUCGUACACCGGGGUUGAUUCGGCUGAUCUGGCUGGCUAGGGCAGGUGUCCCCUUUCCUUCCUCUCUCACCGCUCCAUGUGCGUCCCUCCCAAAGCUGUGCACUUGGUCAAAGAGGAUGGCCUUCCCCCAAAUAGAUGGGCCCGGGUCUUUGGUCGAGGGUAUACAAGUAGCUGCGCUCCCCUGCUAGAACCUCCAAACAAGCUUUCAAGAGAACAUGUUCUGAAAUAAGAUAGUUUGGGUCCAAAUUCUUCACCUGCCACUUACUAGCUGUGUGAUGUU